rnacentral:rRNA from 1 species
ACCGUGAAACUGCGAAUGGCUCAUUAAAUCAGUUAUCGUUUAUUUGAUAGUACCUUACUACUUGGAUAACCGUGGUAAUUCUAGAGCUAAUACAUGCUGAAAACCCCAACUUCGGGAGGGGUGUAUUUAUUAGAUAAAAAACCAACGCCCUUCGGGGCUUCUUGGUGAUUCAUGAUAACUUUACGGAUCGCAUGGNCCUUGCGCCGGCGACGGUUCAUUCAAAUUUCUGCCCUAUCAACUUUCGAUGGUAAGGUAUUGGCUUACCAUGGUUUCAACGGGUAACGGGGAAUUAGGGUUCGAUUCCGGAGAGGGAGCCUGAGAAACGGCUACCACAUCCAAGGAAGGCAGCAGGCGCGCAAAUUACCCAAUCCCGACACGGGGAGGUAGUGACAAUAAAUACUGAUACAGGGCUCUUUUGGGUCUUGUAAUUGGAAUGAGUACAAUUUAAACCUCUUAACGAGGAACAAUUGGAGGGCAAGUCUGGUGCCAGCAGCCGCGGUAAUUCCAGCUCCAAUAGCGUAUAUUAAAGUUGUUGCAGUUAAAAAGCUCGUAGUUGAAACUUGGGCCUGGCUGGCAGGUCCGCCUCACCGCGUGUACUUGUCCGGCCGGGCCUUCCUUCUGGAGAACCUCAUGCCCUUCACUGGGCGUGUUGGGGACCAGGACUUUUACUUUGAAAAAAUUAGAGUGUUCAAAGCAGGCCUUUGCUCGAAUACGUUAGCAUGGAAUAAUAGAAUAGGACGUGCGGUCCUAUUUUGUUGGUUUCUAGGACCGCCGUAAUGAUUAAUAGGGACAGUCGGGGGCAUCAGUAUUCAAUUGUCAGAGGUGAAAUUCUUGGAUUUAUUGAAGACUAACUACUGCGAAAGCAUUUGCCAAGGAUGUUUUCAUUAAUCAGUGAACGAAAGUUAGGGGAUCGAAGACGAUCAGAUACCGUCGUAGUCUUAACCGUAAACUAUGCCGACUAGGGAUCGGGCGAUGUUCUUUUUCUGACUCGCUCGGCACCUUACGAGAAAUCAAAGUUU